rnacentral:rRNA from 1 species
UUGGAGGGCAAGUCUGGUGCCAGCAGCCGCGGUAAUUCCAGCUCCAAUAGCGUAUAUUAAAGUUGCUGCAGUUAAAAAGCUCGUAGUUGAAUUUCGGGACCAUCAUGUCGGUCGUGCCUCGGUACGUACUGGCAUUGUUGGUUUCUCCCUUCUGACGAACCAUGAUGUCAUUUAUUUGGUGUUGUGGGGAAUCAGGACUGUUACUUUGAAAAAAUUAGAGUGUUUAAAGCAGGCUCACGCUUGAAUACAUUAGCAUGGAAUAAUGAAGUAGGACGUUUGAUUCUAUUUUGUUGGUUUCUAGGAUCGACGUAAUGAUUAAUAGGGAUAGUUGGGGGCAUUAGUAUUCAAUUGUCAGAGGUGAAAUUCUUGGAUUUAUUGAAGACUAACUACUGCGAAAGCAUUUGCCAAGGAUGUUUUCAUUAAUCAAGAACGAAAGUUAGGGGAUCGAAGACGAUCAGAUACCGUCGUAGUCUUAACCAUAAACUAUGCCGACUAGGGAUCGGAUGAUGUUAAUUUUUUAAUGACUCAUUCGGCGCCUUACGGGAAAC